rnacentral:misc_RNA from 1 species
CUUACUUCCUGAAAAGAUAGUUUUAAAGAAAAAUUAUUAGCAGGAUAAUACAUCUCCGACGUAGACAUGUAUGACUACAAUAAUACAAGUUAUUUGAAUUCCUUAAACGUACCUAAGGAAGUCAUGUCAGAGAAUAACCUCUCUAGCAAUAUAAAAACAAUUACUCUUUCCCAGGAUGAAAGUGAAAGGGUCUGGGACCCGUGG